rnacentral:rRNA from 1 species
GAUGAACGCUAGCUACAGGCUUAACACAUGCAAGUCGAGGGGCAGCACGGUGUAGCAAUACACUGGUGGCGACCGGCGCACGGGUGAGUAACACGUAUCCAACCUGCCGCAUACUCCGGAAUAGCCUUUCGAAAGAAAGAUUAAUGCCGGAUGGCAUGUAUGUCCUGCUAGUGGGUAUUUACAUUAAAGAUUCAUCGGUAUGCGAUGGGGAUGCGUUCCAUUAGCUUGUGGC